rnacentral:rRNA from 1 species
AUUGAACGCUGGCGGCAGGCCUAACACAUGCAAGUCGAGCGAGCGGCGGACGGGUGAGUAAUGUCUGGGGAUCUGCCCGAUAGAGGGGGAUAACUACUGGAAACUGUGGCUAAUACCGCAUACUAUCCGAUGUCCCCAUAUGGGAUUAGCUAGUUGGUGGGGUAAAGGCUCACCUAUGCGCCGAUCUCUAGCUGGUCUGAGAGGAUGACAAGACAAACUGGGACUGAGACACGGCCCAGACGCCUACGGGAGGCAGCAGUGGGGAAUAUUGCGCAAUGGGCGCAACCCGGACGCAGCCAGGCCGCGUGAAUGAAGAAGGCCUUCGGGUUGUAAAGUACUUUCGGUAGCGAGGCGUUAACGACAGAAGAAGCACCGGCUAACUCCGUGCCAGCAGCCGCGGUAAUUC